rnacentral:rRNA from 1 species
AUGAGUUGUUUUUCUCGCAUUUUCAAGAGGACGAGCGGGGGUCAGCAACAAACUGGUCCACUCAAUGAGGACCUCCCGGGUGUUGAGAACAUAACAAGAUUUAGCUAUAAGGAGUUGGAUAGGGCAACUGCAAGAUUUGACCAAUCCAAUAAGAUUGGUGAGGGAGGUUAUGGACCAGUUUAUAAGGGAACACUCAGGGAUGGAACAGCCGUUGCAGUAAAGGUGCUCUCUUUGCAGUCUAGGCAAGGCGCGAGGGAAUUUCUUAGUGAACUUAUUACGAUCUCUGAUAUUUCCCAUGAGAAUCUUGUCAAGCUUUAUGGCUGUUGUGUGGAAGGAAGCCACAAGAUCCUUGUCUAUAAUUAUCUUGAAAAUAAUAGCCUUGCACAAACCCUUCUAGGUUCUCAGCAGCAUAGCAGCAUCCAGUUUAACUGGAGUACUCGAGUGAAUAUUUGCAUUGGUGUUGCCCAGGGACUAGCAUACCUCCAUGACGGUGUCCGGCCUCAUGUUGUCCACCGGGACAUCAAAGCUAGCAAUAUACUUCUGGACCAGGAUCUUACCCCGAAAAUUUCCGAUUUUGGCUUAGCGAAGCUUCUACCUUCGGAUGUAUCACAUAUUAGCACAAGAGUCGCAGGAACGCUAGGUUACCUAGCUCCUGAAUACGCCAUACGAGGACAAGUGACCCGGAAAUCAGAUGUCUACAGCUUCGGCGUUCUGCUGAUAGAAAUAGUCAGUGGAAGAUGCAACACUGACACAAAACUACCCUACGAAGAUCAGAUUCUUCUUGAGAAGACGUGGGCAUACUACGACCAGGGGCAGCUGGACGAGAUCAUCGACAGCUCCCUGGGCGACGACCUGGACGUGGACGAGGCGUGCAGGUUCCUGAAGGUGGGGCUCCUGUGCACCAAGAACGUGACGAAACGGCGGCCCGACAUGUCGAUGGUGACCCGGAUGCUGAAGGGCGAGGAGGACGUGGAGUCGCAUGAGAUCACCAAGCCCGACGUGAUCCGGGACUUCAGGGACCUGAAGCUGAGGAGCAAGGCCACGUCGUCGUCGCUGCUGACCUCCAUCGUGGCGCGCUCCUCGCCGUCGUCGUCGUCGUCCACCGGCAACACCACCCGCACCUCCAUCACCUUCACCGCCAUAUCGGACCGCCCCUGA